CGCAGCUAGAGUAUUUCUUAAAUGAUUAGCUUCUCAAAAUACUAAAAUAAAGCAACCGAAACAACAUUGUCAGCGUUCGGCGGUGUGAGGUUUCCGGGGGUUGCGAGCCCGAAAAGAAACGCAGCUACAGACGACCGGGAGAACCCGCCUCCGCUCUCGGGCAUUGUUCUGCCUGAUGUCAAUUUGACAGUUCUCUUGGCUGUGGAAAAAAAAUGUUGAGUGAAAGUUCUAUGUCAGUCUAGAGUAAACGGAAACAUUUGAAUAUGCCAUGGCAUUCCAGGCUGCGGUCACAUUUCGAUACAAAAAGCUCAAGCUUACUCGUUUGAAGUUAUAGUGGCGGGAUUUACGUACGGCCCGCCAUUCUAACUAUUCUACAAAUUAACCUUGUAUCGAUCAGUCUCGUCCAAAAUCAUCUUUAGACAAACAAGAUGAAAGAGCAUACGUUUAAAGUGUGGUUACUACUAACGUGUAACACUCAAUGGCAGCACAAUUCAAAAUUUCGAAUCAACAUAACCGCACUUUCAUUAAGAUUCUACUAUUCAGAGUCGAGAGCUGAAGUUUGAGCGAAAAACAAAGGACUUAGCGAGAGUCGAAUAAAGUUAAACAGUUCAUUUAGUACAUUCUGACAUGGUUGAUGCUAUAGAUUGGUAGUUCAAUUAAAUAUGGCUUACAUGGUGUUC